rnacentral:rRNA from 1 species
GUUUGAUCCUGGCUCAGAACGAACGCUGGCGGCAGGCCUAACACAUGCAAGUCGAACGAUAUAGUGGCAGACGGGUGAGUAACGCGUGGGAACGUACCUUUCGCUAAGGAAUAGCUCCGGGAAACUGGUGGUAAUACCUUAUACGCCCUUAGGGGGAAAGAUUUAUCGGCGAAAGAUCGGCCCGCGUUGGAUUAGCUAGUUGGUGAGGUAAUGGCUCACAAAGGCGACGAUCCAUAGCUGGUCUGAGAGGAUGAUCAGCCACACUGGGACUGAGACACGGCCCAGACUCCUACGGGAGGCAGCAGUGGGGAAUCUUGCACAAUGGGCGAAAGCCUGAUGCAGCCAUGCCGCGUGAAUGAUGAAGGCCUUAGGGUUGUAAAAUUCUUUCGUCAGGGAUGAUAAUGACCGUACCUGAAGAAGAAGCCCCGGCUAACUUCGUGCCAGCAGCCGCGGUAAUGCGAAGGGGGCUAGCGUUGUUCGGAAUUACUGGGCGUAAAGCGCGCGUAGGCGGACUUUUAAGUCAGGUGUGAAAUCCCGGGGCUCAACCUCGGAACUGCAUUUGAAACUGGAAGUCUUGAGAUCAGGAGAGGUUAGCGGAAUACCGAGUGUAGAGGUGAAAUUCUUAGAUAUUCGGUGGAACACCAGUGGCGAAGGCGGCUAACUGGA